CCACUCCUUGUCAUGUUGUUAAAUAACACUUCUUGCAUGUUAGUAAACAACGCUCUUGACAUGUUAAACAAAACUCCUUACAAUAUUUUGCUAAUUCUCAAGCUUCAAGCAAUUUCACGUCACAUAUAUAUAUGACAGUUUUAUCAAAAUAAGAAUUGUAAAACCUAUAAAUCAUUGAUGAGUCCACAUCCAAUUGUUUCUAAAGUAAGGUUUUCCUUUAGGAAUAUAAAAAAAAAGAUACUUACAAAAAACAAGCCUUCUACCAAACAAAAAGUAAGUUGGUAGGACUAAAAAGGAAGAAGAUGCAUGUGAUUAGAUUUUAAGAGCAUCCGCGGGCGGACGUUUCUUGUUCUCGCUGAGAACAUCCUCAACGCAAGGAACAUCCUCAAUGUAAAUGUUUCUUGGACAAGGUACCUUGAUAGAAUGCUUGGUCCCAGAGCUUUUAUUUUGUAUUUACAUGGACUAUUUCUUGGACCGCUGCGAAUAAAAAACUGGAUCUUAAUCUUUGAGAGUUUUUGUAAGAGAACGAGGAUGAGGCUUCGGAAGCACCAUGAUAGCUGUAAACCCGUAUCGAAAUACAGGAAACACUGACAGAAGCUUUUGGAAAGGAUAUGGAGGAACAAGAAGGUGAUGAUUCUUGUAAGAUGUUUUUGGAAGGGAUAUGGAGGUAAGUUCGUUAGUAAUAUAUAUAUAUGGUGGUGUAUGAUUUAUUACGAAGAUAUUUGCAUGAAAGAAAAAAUGAUAUUUGCAUGAGUGUUAAGAGAAUAUUUUCAUGAGUGUUAGGUGAAAUGUUGUUGAACACCACUCCUUGUCAUGUUGUUAAAUAACACUCCUUGCAUGUUAGUAAACAACGCUCUUGACAUGUUAAACAAAACUCCUUACAAUAUUUUGCUAAUUCUUAAGCUUCAAGCAAUUUCACGUCACAUAUAUAUAUGACAGUUUUAUCAAAAUAAGAAUUAUAAAACCUAUAAAUCAUUGAUGAGUCCACAUCCAAUUGUUUCUAAAGUAAGGUUUUCCUUUAGGAAUAUAAAAAAAAAAGAUACUUAAAAAAAACAAGCCUUCUACCAAACAAAAAGUAAGUUGGUAGGACUAAAAAGGAAGAAGAUGCAUGUGAUUAGAUUUUAAGAGCAUCCGCGGGCGGACGUUUCUUGUUCUUGCUGAGAACAUCCUCAACGCAAAGAACAUCCUCAAUGUAAAUGUUUCUUGGACAAGGUACCUUGAUAGAAUGCUUGGUCCCAGAGCUUUUAUUUUGUAUUUACAUGGACUAUUUCUUGGACCACUGCGAAUAAAAAACUGGAUCUUAAUCUUUGAGAGUUUUUGUAAGAGAACGAGGAUGAGGCUUCGGAAGCACCAUGUUAGCUGUAAACCCGUAUCGAAAUACAGGAAACACUGACAGAAGCUUUUGGAAAGGAUAUGGAGGAACAAGAAGGUGAUGAUUCUUGUAAGAUGUUUUUGGAAGGGAUAUGGAGGUAACUCUGAAUCCAUGUGAACAACGAAGAGCGAUUGAACCCUCGCACUGCGCGCAAGACUGUCCGCUCUUGUAUUUUGCGUCAUUGGAACAUGGAUUAUCUCCGAGUGGGUGAAGCUCAGCUUCAAGUUUUUUAUAUCUGCUAGAUAAGACGCAAACGCAGGCCAUGCAUUUGGUUCUGAAACCAUCUUCACCAAUUCAGAACAAUCUGUUGCAAAUAUCACCUGAAAUUGUCGUAGAUUCCUCAUACUUUCCAUCGCCCAGAUAAGGGCCUCCACCUCUGAAUGAAGGGAAGAAAUACUAGCUCUCGUGUUCCUCGCGUCCAUCAAACCUUCCAAUGUGCUAUACCAGCCUUGUCCUGGGAAGAGAUCUCUUUCUUUCCAGAAACCAUCCGUGAAACACCACCUACCUUAUAUAUCUGGCAAGGUAUCAAGAAUUCCUUCCCCCUGAGAAGAUUCCCUAUGUGGAAUAGUUGCAUGGGCCUCCAGCCAAACUCUUGAUUCAGUUUCUGCCAGCUGAAGAGUAUCUCUGGGGUCUAUGUUGAUAUUGCUGAAAAUCAUAUUGUUCCGACCUUUCCAAAUAUACCAUAAAAUCCAAGCAAAUUGGUGACUUGAUACUGGCGUUGGGCAUUCAAAAAAAACAUGAUUUAUUGAUUCCACUUCUGCUCCGCAUCUUGCACAAUGUAAGUCCCCUUUAAACCCUCUUGUUCUCAGUCUCUCUUUUACCGAAAUGCAUCAUGUCACUAUUUGCCUAAGAAAAUGCUUUAUUUUUUGGUGGACACUGAAUCUUCCAACAAAAAGCCUUCAGAGCAGUUGUAUCUGGACCGUUAAACACGAAUCUCCUUAUCAAUAUCCGGAUUAUCACUGUAAGACUUCAAGAAGGAAUUGAGUACAUUUAACCAAAAACAAAGGAGGAAUAAUCGAAGGAAGUCAAGGAUUGAAGUACAAAUCAAGAAAAUAAUGCAGGUUAGAGAAUCGAUAUGCUUGCAAUCUAGACUAAGAAAUAUUACUUUUGUAUUUAAAGUAUUCUUCAACCUGUAACUAUCGUUUUGUGGGGGUUUUUAAAGUAUUGACCAGAUAUAGAGUUUCUACAGAUAAUUCCACAAAAAAUGUAUGAUGAGAGAGGGGUUAUUAUAAGUUGAUUAUGUGGUCUGUGAGUCUGUGAAAUGAGAUCUCUGUAAUUCACGGUUGUGGAUCCCAACUGGCAAAAUCUGGUCGCCAACCUCUUCAACCACUUGUUUCACAGGUAAUACUGCAGCUUACAUACAAAUCAUAUGUACUUGAAUCAACGUCCAAACAUAGUUAUUUAAUCGCUCUAGUAAAAAUAAUUAUAGGCAGGUACAAUAAUAAAAAUACAUUUAAGAUAAAAUAUCACAUUAUUCUUUAUAAAAUGUGAUAUUAGUGAAUUCAUUCAUUCUUCUGAAAGUCAAUACAAUAGUGUUUCAAUCCUAAACUCGCAUCCCUCUAUUAUUGGUGUGUCCAUUAUAGUUAAUCGGGUUGUUUGGUUAUAUGAAAGGACUUAUAGCACUAGAACUGAAUAAAUUUGUUUAUUAAUGUCGGAGAUAACUAUACCUCUUAAUUUAAAGCCUAUAUUUUAAUAUAAAUAUCUUUGUGAAACCUCAAAAAUAAAAAAAAAUAGAUAUAUGAUAGAUUUUUCUGAUUAUAAAACUAUUAGUUUGCCUCAUACAAAUGUAUGAAAAGUCAUCUUUUUGGCUAACUUUCUAAGUAUCAUAAGGAAGUUUUGUAAUUUUGAUUUACACCAUACAAGUGGAUAGUGAUUAGCUAAUUCCCUUAUGACUAAAUUACUAAAUGCGUCAUAUUAUUUCAAUGACUCUUAUGGUUAUAGAAGAUUUAUGAUGGACCAUAUCAAAGAAAAGAUUUAUCAUGGAUACACUCCUUAUUUGACCAAAACCUACAAUGAGUUAUAUAUAUAUGUGUGUGUCUAUGUGAUUCAC